GACGAACGCUGGCGGCGUGCUUAACACAUGCAAGUCGAACGGAAAGGCCCUGCUUUUGUGGGGUGCUCGAUUGGCGAACGGGUGAGUAACACGUGAGUAACCUGCCCUUGACUUUGGGAUAACUUCAGGAAACUGGGGCUAAUACCGGAUAGGAUCUCCUGCUGCAUGGUGGGGGUUGGAAAGUUUCGGCGGUUGGGGAUGGACUCGCGGCUUAUCAGCUUGUUGGUGGGGUAGUGGCUUACCCAGGCUUUGACGGGUAGCCGGCCUGAGAGGGUGACCGGGCACAUUGGGACUGAGAUACGGCCCAGACUCCUACGGGAGGCAGCAGUGGGGAAUAUUGCACAAUGGGCGGAAGCCUGUUGCAGCAACGCCGCGUGCGGGAUGACGGCCUUCGGGUUGUAAACCGCUUUCGCCUGUGACGAAGCGUGAGUGACGGUAAUGGGUAAAGAAGCACCGGCUAACUACGUG
rnacentral:rRNA from 1 species